UACGAAGGGUGCAAGCGUUGUUCGGAAUUAUUGGGCGUAAAGCGCGUGUAGGCGGCUUUGCAAGUCGGGUGUGAAAGCCCUCGGCUCAACCGAGGAAGUGCGCCCGAAACUGCAGAGCUUGAGUACCGGAGAGGAUGGCGGAAUUCCCCAAGUAGAGGUGAAAUUCGUAGAUAUGGGGAGGAACACCGGUGGCGAAGGCGGCCAUCUGGACGGAUACUGACGCUGAGACGCGAAAGCGUGGGGAGCAAACAGG
rnacentral:rRNA from 1 species